rnacentral:sRNA from 1 species
GCCAGGUAUGGUGGCUCACGCCUGUAAUCCUAGCAGCUCAGGAGGCUGAGACAGGAAGAUCACAAGUUCAAAGCCAGCCUCAGCAAUGGCAAGACACUAAGCAACUCAGUGAGACCCUGUCUCUU